GUGAGUAGCGAACCGAAAGGGGAGCGACCCGUCAAAUCGGGCCAUCACACAGGUGCUGCAUGGCUGUCGUCAGCUCGUGCCGUGAGGUGUUGGGUUCAGUCCCGCAACGAGCGCAACCCUCGCCCUUUGUUGCCAUCGGGUAAAGCCGGGCACUCUAAGGGGACUGCCAGCGACAAGUUGGAGGAAGGAGAGGAUGACGUCAAGUCAUCAUGGCCUUUAUGCCUAGGGCCACACACGUGCAACAAUGGCCGGUACAGACGGAGGCAAUGCCGAGA
rnacentral:rRNA from 1 species